GAACACAGAUAUGUAGAACUCUUCUUGAAUUCUACAGCAGGAGCAAGCGGUGGUGCUUAUGGUAGCCAAAUGAUGGGAGGCAUGGGCUUGUCAAACCAGUCCAGCUACGGGGGCCCAGCCAGCCAGCAGCUGAGUGGGGGUUACGGAGGCGGCUACGGUGGCCAGAGCAGCAUGAGUGGAUACGACCAAGUUUUACAGGAAAACUCCAGUGAUUUUCAAUCAAACAUUGCAUAGAAAACUUCAGUUUAACAGUUUCUGCAAUACAAGCUUGUGAUUUAUGCUUACUCUAAGUGGAAAUCAGGAUUGUUAUGAAGACUUAAGGCCCAGUAUUUUUGAAUACAAUACUCAUCUAGGAUGUAACAGUGAAGCUGAGUAAACUAUAACUGUUAAACUUAAGUUCCAGCUUUUCUCAAGUUAGUUAUAGGAUGUACUUAAGCAGUAAGCGUAUUUAGGUAAAAGCAGUUGAAUUAUGUUAAAUGUUGCCCUUUGCCACGUUAAAUUGAACACUGUUUUGGAUGCAUGUUGAAAGACAUGCUUUUAUUUUUUUGUAAAACAAUAUAGGAGCUGUGUCUACUAUUAAAAGUGAAACAUUUUGGCAUGUUUGUUAAUUCUAGUUUCAUUUAAUAACCUGUAAGGCACGUAAGUUUAAGCUUUUUUUUUUUUUAAGUUAAUGGGAAAAAUUUGAGACGCAAUACCAAUACUUAGGAUUUUGGUCUUGGUGUUUGUAUGAAAUUCUGAGGCCUUGAUUUAAAUCUUUCAUUGUAUUGUGAUUUCCUUUUAGGUAUAUUGCGCUAAGUGAAACUUGUCAAAUAAAUCCUCCUUUUAAAAAC
rnacentral:lncRNA from 1 species